AUGAACGCUAGCGACAGGCCUAACACAUGCAAGUCAGGGCAGCACAAGGAGCAAUCUGAGGUGGCGACCGGCGCACGGGUGAGUAACACGUAUGCAACCUGCCUGUAAGCGGGGAAUAACCCGUUGAAAGACGGACUAAUACCGCAUAAUACUAAAUUACUGCAUGGUAAUUUAUUUAAACAUUUAUGGCUUACAGAUGGGCAUGCGCAUGAUUAGCUAGUUGGAGAGGUAACGGCUCCCCAAGGCAACGAUCAUUAGGGGUUCUGAGAGGAAGGUCCCCCCACACUGGUACUGAGACACGGACCAGACUCCUACGGGAGGCAGCAGUGAGGAAUAUUGGUCAAUGGACGAGAGUCUGAACCAGCCAAGUCGCGUGCAGGAAGAAUUGUCCUAUGGAUUGUAAACUGCUUUUGCAGGGGAAUAAAGUGCAUCACGUGUGAUGUUUUGUAUGUACUCUGCGAAUAAGGAUCGGCUAACUCCGUGCCAGCCGCCGC
rnacentral:rRNA from 1 species